AGUGGCGGACGGGUGAGUAACACGUAGGUAACCUACCCUUGAGAGGGGGACAACCCCGCGAAAGCGGGGCUAAUACCCCAUAAGACCACUGGGAUAAAAGCAGCACUCAGGGAUGGGCCUGCGGCCUAUCAGGUAGUUGGCGGGGUAACGGCCCACCAAGCCUAAGACGGGUAGCCGGGCUGAGAGGUCGAACGGCCACACUGGAACUGAGACACGGUCCAGACUCCUACGGGAGGCAGCAGUGGGGAAUUUUGCACAAUGGGCGAAAGCCUGAUGCAGCGACGCCGCGUGGAGGAUGAAGGCCUUCGGGUUGUAAACUCCUUUUGUAGGGGAAGAUUGACGGUACCCUAUGAAUAAGCCACGGCUAACUCUGUGCCAGCAGCCGCGGUAAGACAGAGGUGGCGAGCGUUGUUCGGAAUCACUGGGCUUAAAGGGCGCGUAGGUGGUAGUGAAAGUCUAUGGUGGAAUCUUAGGGCUUAACCCUAAAACUGCCUUGGAAAC
rnacentral:rRNA from 1 species